GACGCCCCGCCUAUAGCCCGGCCGCCGCCGGUGCCUCCAGCGCAGCGGCUGCUACCUGAGUGGCGUCGGUGGCCUGGGGAGCCGGCCGCCAUGGCGGCGGAGGCCCUGGCGGCCGAGGCCGUGGCUUCACGCCUGGAGCGGCAGGAGGAGGACAUCCGCUGGCUGUGGGCGGAGGUCCAGCGCCUGAGGGACGAGCAACUGAACGCGCCCGACCGCGGCCAGGCCGAGGGGCCGUGCCUGACGCGGGAGGUGGCGCAGCUCCGGGCGGAGAACCGCGACCUGCGCCACCGCCUCUACCGCCUGCGGCUGUGCCUCGCCGAGGAGCUGAGACAGCAGGCGCCGCUGGAGAGCGCGGCGCGGGCGGCGGCGGCGCAGGAGGAGGCCCGGCGCGCGGCUGCCGGCGCGCAGCCUCCUUCCAGUCAAACCCAAGAAAAGAACACUAAAGCAAAGGAGGAUAGCAGGCCUGAGAGCGAGGUGACAGAUCAACCAGAUUUUGUGAAGGAAAGAUUGAAGCUGUUUGAAAUAUUGAAGCAAGACCAUCAGCUCUUAUUUGUCGUUGCUGACGAAAAGGGGAAUACAAGCAGUGUGAUCACAGUGAGAGUGGCUGGUGGGAAAACCGUGGAAGGGGAAGUCUGGAAAACAACACCUUAUCAAGUGGCUGCUGAAAUUAGUCCAGAGCUGGCUGAAAGCAUGGUUGUAGCCAAAGUAAAUGGUGAAUUAUGGGACUUGGACCGUCCAUUGGAAGGGGAUUCCACUCUAGAGCUGCUUACGUUUGAUAAUGAGGAAGCUCAAGCUGUGUACUGGCACUCCAGUGCUCACAUCCUUGGGGAGGCCAUGGAGCUUUACUACGGAGGCCACCUGUGCUAUGGUCCACCCAUUGAAAAUGGAUUUUAUUAUGACAUGUUCAUUGGAGACAGAGCAGUGUCCAGCACAGAACUGUCAGCCCUGGAGAGCAUCUGUAAGACUAUCAUAAAAGAAAAGCAACCUUUCGAAAGACUGGAAGUCAGCAAGGAAGUGCUCCUCGAAAUGUUUAAGUACAAUAAAUUUAAAUGCCGCAUCCUGAAUGAGAAAAUUAACACUCCAACUACGACGGUUUACAGGUGCGGUCCGCUAAUUGACCUUUGCAAAGGCCCGCAUGUAAGACACACUGGAAAAAUUAAAACCAUAAAAAUUUUCAAGAAUUCCUCAACAUAUUGGGAGGGCAAUCCCGAGAUGGAAACACUGCAGAGGGUCUAUGGGAUAUCCUUCCCUGAUAACAAGAUGAUGAAGACCUGGGAAAAGUUCCAAGAGGAAGCCAAGAACCGAGAUCACAGGAAGAUUGGAAAGGAACAAGAACUAUUCUUUUUCCAUGAUCUGAGUCCUGGAAGCUGCUUUUUUCUUCCCAGAGGAGCCUUCAUUUAUAAUACACUUAUGGAUUUCAUACGAGAGGAAUAUCACCAACAUAACUUCACAGAAGUGCUCUCUCCCAACAUGUACAACAGCAGACUCUGGGAAACCUCAGGUCACUGGCAGCAUUAUAGUGAGAACAUGUUUACCUUUGAUAUUGAAAAGGACACGUUCGCCCUUAAGCCCAUGAACUGUCCAGGGCACUGUCUAAUGUUUGCUCAUCGUCCACGAUCAUGGAGGGAAAUGCCUAUCAGAUUCGCUGAUUUUGGAGUUCUUCAUAGGAAUGAAUUAUCAGGAACUUUAAGUGGUUUGACUCGAGUUAGGCGCUUCCAGCAGGAUGAUGCCCAUAUCUUCUGCACAGUAGAGCAGAUUGAAGAAGAAAUAAACGGCUGUUUGCAGUUUUUGCAAUCUGUUUACUCAACAUUUGGCUUCUCCUUUCAAUUAAAUUUGUCAACAAGACCUGAAAACUUCCUAGGAGAGGUUGAGCUAUGGGAUGAAGCUGAAAAGCAACUACAGAACAGCUUGGUGGAAUUUGGAAAACCAUGGAAGAUGAACCCAGGAGAUGGAGCAUUUUAUGGCCCUAAAAUUGAUAUAAAAAUCAAGGAUGCUAUUGGCCGAUACCAUCAAUGUGCUACAAUUCAGCUGGACUUCCAACUACCUAUUAGAUUUAAUCUUACAUAUGUUAGUAAGGAUGGAGAUGAUAAGAGGAACCCUGUGAUCAUUCAUCGAGCCAUUUUGGGGUCAGUGGAAAGAAUGAUAGCCAUCCUCUCAGAAAACUAUGGGGGGAAAUGGUCAGGAAACCAAAACAAAGAAGACAAAAGCAGCACAACCUAAAACUAUCAUUUACCUUUUGGGGAAUGCGGUAGAAUUGAAGAGUUAUCUUUUUACCUAUUUCAAGUCCUUUAAAGAUCUAGUUGCAUCUGGUGACCCUCAAAAGAAGGAAGGUGCUGAGCUGACAUUGUGGGAUUUGCUAGUAUUACUGUGCCCCCAGAAGCAACCGGCCUUACUGGCAGUCAAGACAUCAGGUGGCAGAUGAUCCAUCUUGUGAUGGCACAUCCAAUGGAGGUGGAAAUGCUGCAGCCCAGCAAUCACAUGUGACAUCUUUGUCUCCCAUCUCAUUUUGAAGAAAUUGACUGAGAUCUGCUCAUGCAGUUUGUUCUGAUUUAGUUCUGUGCUGCUGUCGCUGGGUACAGUCCCUGCAGCUCCCAUUGUUGACCCUGGGGUGCUCCCAUUGUUGACCCAAAGGUCUCCCCCAGAGCUCCAUGUCUCCGCACCACCCCUGCCAGAAUUGAUUCUAUGUAGUACCUCCCCCAGGUGCUACUCUGUCCCAAAUCCGUGCACCAUGCUUGUACAUGCCAGAUCAUGUGCCUGCACUCGAACAUGUCUAGGGCAGCUGGGGAAAGCAAAUUUCUCAGCAGGCACUACAAGGUGGGAAAUUCCCCCAGCAGAGGGUCUUUAAGACGUCCUGGGUAGCUAGAGUCUGUGUACAUCCCUGAAGUUUUAUUUGUGAUCUUAGAGAAAUGUACUUAGGUAUCAUGGGGUGUCCAAGUUGUUAAAACUUACACAGAUAAGCCAAAAGAACAUGCACGCUACCUAAGUAUGAGUUAACACAUUGACAUCUCUUUCUGGUUGAUUCUGUUUUAAAUAGUUUAAUGUAGGUAAGAGAUGGUGGUGUCUCGCCCGAGAGUGGUGGCAGUGAAUGUGCUAGAAAAACUAAAAAGAACUAGUGGAAUCAGGAGAUGGAGUGGGAGACAGGAGAUGGUGCUGUGCACUCAAUGGGCUGUCCCUCACCGUGCAGACUUAGGGCACAGGCUGUGCAAUCCAUUGACCCAGAGUUCAGACACCUGCCAGAGUUUUGGUGGACACCUCCCCAAGAGCUCAAAAUAGAAAUUGUUAAAAUGUGGCUCCCCUGGGGAUGGGGUGAGGACAGAGCUCAAAAGGAAAUGCUUACUUUUCACUUUAUCCACUGUAUUCCUAUGUUUUAUUAUACAUUUUAUUACUUCUAUCAUAUGCGUUAUUUUGCUUUUGUAAUUUAAGAAUAAAUAUCUAAAUGUUCAUAAGGUGCCGCCAGGUAGUAGUUCCCACGGCAUUUCAUUUCACCUUUCAGACAAAGUACUGAUGAAGAAAUAUUUCCCACAUUAAACAUUGCUUAUACCCAACUUCCCAUCUUUUUUUUUUAAUUUCAUUUUGAGAUAAUUGUACAUUCACAUGUAGUGGUAAGAAAUCAUCGAGAAAGGUCCAGCAUACCCUUCACUCACUUUUCCUCAAUGGCAGCAUCUUACAAAACUCUAUACAAUAUCAUGACCAGAAAAUUUUUGAUACAAUCCGCCAACCUUAUUUAGGUGUCACCAGUUCACAUGCACUCGUGUGUAUGUGUGUGUUGAGUUCUAUAAAAUUUGAUCACCUGUGUACCCACCAUCAGUUAAGAUAGAGGACAGUUCUGUUACUUAUGAGGACUCCUUGUGCUACCAUUUUAUUGUCACACACCUCCUACCCCACCCCCAUCAUCCUCCUCUGACAGCCACUCAUCUGUUCUCCAUCUCCAUAAUUUUGUCAUUUCAAGAAUGUUACAUAAAUGGAAUCACACGGUGUGUAAUUGUGCGGGAUUGGCUUUAAUCACUCGGAAUUCCACUGAGAUCCGUCCAACUCGUUUCAAGUCUCAGUGGUCGGUCCCCUUUUAUUGCUGAUAGUGUUCCAUGGUGUGGAUGCACGAGUUUGAUCAUUCAUCCAUUGAAAGACAUUUGGAGUGUUUCCAGUUUGGGGCUAUUAUAAAUAAAGCUGCUAUGAACAUUAGUGGGAAGGUUUCUGUGUGAACAUGUUUUCGUUUCUCUGGGGUAAAUACCCAGGAAUGCAAUUGCCCAGUGGUGUGACCCAGCAGCUGACCUGUUCUUCCCUCCCUUUCCUCCCAUAAUUCCCAGCUUCCUCUUUUGUCUGCCCUGUUGCUUUUUAGCUCUCAAUAUGGUUUGGUUUACUUCCACACCACUCUGCUGAAUCUGCUUUCUUGUGAAGUCUUACUUUAAAAAAAUCUUCGGCUAUAUUUUAAAUCACAUAAUACAUGAUCAUCAUCAGAUUCUGAAAAUACAUAUUUUAUAUA